rnacentral:misc_RNA from 1 species
GUGGUUAAGCCGCAAUGGAAGGCGGCGAUUGAUUUCAAGUGGAUAAGGGAUAAUAAGGAUGCGGUUGCUUUGAACAUAAAGAACAGGAACUCCAAUGCUAAUUUGGAACUUGUGCUUGAGAUCUAUGAGAAAAUGUUGGCUGUCCAAAAGGUCAGAUUUGACGCAUUUCCCCCUUUUCCUUAAUCUACAAUUACAAAAUAUGCUUGGAUUUUUUUUUCUACCUAUUUGGUUUCUGGGAAAACUUCCUUUCUUAAGAAAGUUGGUUCCUUCUCAAAAAUUUUAUGAUGCUUGUUUGAAAAUCCUGCCGUCACUUUUAUUCGGACGAAAACAGUGUUUAGGAGAGUCCAGCUUCUUCUUCUUCUUCUUCUUAUUUCCGUUUUGGAUUUCGUGAAGACAUAUUGCAAUAUUACUGUUUAUAUGAUGAUUACGCAUUGUUCAGAAAUGUGAGUGUCCAAUCAACUAGACGACUGCUUGCAGCUGCUGCUUAUUCUCGUUUGGCAAGUGCUUACUUUUUUAGGUGCUUAUGUUCCAGUAAUGCUGCUCCCUUGCAGGCUCUUAAAAGUGGGAAAGAAGUUUUAGCAGCCUCUAGAAUGCAUGAGCAUGAUGCUACACAACUGAAUUUAGAGGUCCAAAAUACCGCCAGUGAUAAAAAUUGUGAUUUUUUAGUCAACUAGUGUCUGUUGCACGUAUGGGCUUUAGAGUCAGGAGGCAUGUUGGUUUGGCAUAAAAACUAAAGAUAAUAAAAUUAUUGGUAAAAUGGUAAUUUAACAAGAUAAAAAUAAGUUUGCUUCUCAAUUUUAUCUAAUUGUCACUCCCAGAUAGCAGGAAGUUGAAAGGCUUCGUGGGGAAAGAAAUGCCGUAGCGAACAAGAUGAAAGGAAAGCUAGAG